rnacentral:rRNA from 1 species
GACGAACGCUGGCGGCGUGCCUAAUACAUGCCAGUAGAACGCUGAAGGAGGAGCUUGCUUCUCUGGAUGAGUUGCGAACGGGUGAGUAACGCGUAGGUAACCUGCCUGGUAGCGGGGGAUAACUAUUGGAAACGAUAGCUAAUACCGCAUAAUAUUGACUAUUGCAUGAUAGUCAGUUGAAAGGUGCAACUGCACCACUACCAGAUGGACCUGCGUUGUAUUAGCUAGUUGGUGGGGUAACGGCUCACCAAGGCGACGAUACAUAGCCGACCUGAGAGGGUGAUCGGCCACACUGGGACUGAGACACGGCCCAGACUCCUACGGGAGGCAGCAGUAGGGAAUCUUCGGCAAUGGACGGAAGUCUGACCGAGCAACGCCGCGUGAGUGAAGAAGGUUUUCGGAUCGUAAAGCUCUGUUGUAAGAGAAGAACGAGUGUGAGAGUGGAAAGCUCACACUGUGACGGUAUCUUACUAGAAAGGGACGGCUAACUACGUG